rnacentral:lncRNA from 1 species
CCGGCUGCUUCCUGCCCCCACCCUUUCCCCGGGCCUGCUGUGCUGCUUUUGUGCCAAGGUUAGCCAGUCCCCCCUGUUGUGUUCCAUGUGCUUUCACCUCUGCCUCAUCUUUCCUCCCGUCCCUGCCCCGCCACCUCCCCAAAGAAUUGAAACGUCAGCUCAGGAUAUGGGGCCAAUCUCUGUGAGUCCAGCAUGUACCUGUCUCUCCCUAGUGUCCCUUCAGCCUGGGCUGACCAGUGCCCGCCUCUGGGCUUGACCAGUUCCCAAUCUCGUCCUCUGUCCCCAACUUCUUAAGCACAAUUGGGCUUCUUCCAUCUCCAGGUUUUCUGCCAUUCUUAACCAAGGCUGCCUCUUCCAACAGGGCGGGAAUCAGACCUACUCCCCUAGGUCACAACUCUGGGAAGGAUACAGAGCCCGGGCACUGAAAAUGGGACCUGGAAGUAGGGGAGGGGAGUAGGAGUGUUCCUCACUCCCACCUAGGAGGAAGGCAUCUCCGAUUCCAUUCCAUUGAUGCUGAGUGCCGGAGAUAAAUACAUUUACUGAAAGAAAAGCUGGAUAAAUGAGUGGAUGAAUGCAGGUCUGGUCCAUACAGGGCAAUUUACAUACAACAUCUUAAUUUGUCCUGGGAGGUGGGUAGCUCUACUUUACAGAUGUUCAAGUAACAUAAUGGAGGUCACACAGCAAGGAAGUAGCAGAGCCA